rnacentral:rRNA from 1 species
UACGUAGGGGGCUAGCGUUGUCCGGAUUUAUUGGGCGUAAAGAGCGUGUAGGCGGCCAGGUAGGUCCGUUGUGAAAACUCGAGGCUCAACCUCGAGACGUCGGCGGAAACCCUCUGGCUAGAGUCCGGAAGAGGAGAGUGGAAUUCCUGGUGUAGCGGUGAAAUGCGCAGAUAUCAGGAAGAACACCGGUGGCGAAGGCGGUGGGCUGGGCCGGCACUGACGCUGAGGAGCGAAAGCGUGGGGAGCGAACAGG